UUGAGAAAGAGAUUGACUUUUGUUUGGAGUUUGUGAGAAGUGGGAAUCAGAAGCAGGACAAUGGGACUCCCCACGGUGAGAGGCUGAGAGGAGCCAUCUCAAAUCAGUCAGCCAGAGGACUAACUAAUCCGUCCAUUGUCCCUCCCCAGCCACCGGCCGCACAUCAACACAUUCGCCCCCAUUGUCCCCCACCCUCAUGCAGCGGGAUUUGCUCUCCCCAACAGCCAGUUUUGUCCGAGGCAGUUCGAGCGGAAGUUUCUCACUGACAAUUUGCCCCAAAUAGAU
rnacentral:misc_RNA from 1 species